rnacentral:rRNA from 1 species
AAGCGCAUGUGCUGUGAGCUCGAUGAGUAGGGCGGGACACGUGGUAUCCUGUCUGAAUAUGGGGGGACCAUCCUCCAAGGCUAAAUACUCCUGACUGACCGAUAGUGAACCAGUACCGUGAGGGAAAGGCGAAAAGAACCCCGGCGAGGGGAGUGAAAAAGAACCUGAAACCGUGUACGUACAAGCAGUGGGAGCCCCACCACUAAGCCAGUGGUGAACUCCACAUACGCAUCCUUUGCUGAAGGCAAUGGUUAACGGAGCGAAAGCGACGUUCAACCGCAAAACAAGCAGAGGGGGCUUAGUGGUGGGGUGACUGCGUACCUUUUGUAUAAUGGGUCAGCGACUUAUAUUCUGUAGCAAGGUUAACCGAAUAGGGGAGCCGCAGGGAAACCGAGUCUUAACCGGGCGUUAAGUUGCAGGGUAUAGACCCGAAACCCGGUGAUCUAGCCAUGGGCAGGUUGAAGGUUGGGUAACACUAACUGGAGGACCGAACCGACUAAUGUUGAAAAAUUAGCGGAUGACCUGUGGCUGGGGGUGAAAGGCCAAUCAAACCGGGAGAUAGCUGGUUCUCCCCGAAAGCUAUUUAGGUAGCGCCUCGUGAAUUCAUCUCCGGGGGUAGAGCACUGUUUCGGCUAGGGGGCCAUCCCGGCUUACCAACCCGAUGCAAACUGCGAAUACCGGAGAAUGUUAUCACGGGAGACACACGGCGGGUGCUAACGUCCGUCGUGAAGAGGGAAACAACCCAGACCGCCAGCUAAGGUCCCAAAGUCAUGGUUAAGUGGGAAACGAUGUGGGAAGGCCCAGACAGCCAGGAUGUUGGCUUAGAAGCAGCCAUCAUUUAAAGAAAGCGUAAUAGCUCACUGGUCGAGUCGGCCUGCGCGGAAGAUGUAACGGGGCUAAACCAUG